CGGACAGAAACGUUCAUGGCACUAGGGGAAAUAACGAGUACUACUUCUCUUCGUCUUCAUCUUACACAGCCACCAUCCUCCCUCUCUCGAAACCCUGCCACUUUCAUCACCCGAUCUAAUCCCAAGUCGCCGCCACCUCCUCAUUUUGACUCCGAUCAAUGAAAUCAUCAUUCACGGCCAUCACCGGCCCCCCUUUUAUUUCCAACAACGAUCCGUGUCCAACCCCUUCUUUGAAUCCUCGAUCGAUUAAGUCCUCACCGAGUCUUCCUCCCUCAUUUUCGCUUCCGGGAGAUCGACGACGUUAAGAGAGAUCAUCUGAACCCAUCUCGACGACGGUAAGUCGAUUCUUAUCCUUAGAUUCGAUUUCUUUUUUUGUUUAGAUCAGAUUUUUACAAGAGAUGCGAUUUCAUCCUAGGUACAGAAGGGCUCGCCGGCGAUUUCCACCUUCUCUUGACAACUCAUCAGCGAUAAUGACGGUGGUGAUCCCCUCUUUGCGACCGUCGCGGCGAUUACGGACCCGAUGAGCUUCCCCAUCCACUAUGCGUACUGUUCCUCUCUUCAAUCUGAGUAAAAACUAUCACCAAACUGCCACAAAAUUCAGCCCCAUUGUCAAACAGAAACAUCCAUCAUUCCAAGCCAAUGACCAAGACAGUCCAAAUGGAAACAACAAAUCAGAAAUCACAUUGUCUGAUUUCGGACUAACGCCUUGCUUGGUAGAGCGUCUUCAGAAAUCACAUGGUCUGAUUUCGGACUAACGCCUUGCUUGGUAGAGCGUCUUAAAACCAUGUAAACCAUGUAUUUUAUGUGUAUUUGAAAUGUAAGGGAUUGAUAGUAAAGAUUUUGUUAAAAUCUUUUGUUUG
rnacentral:lncRNA from 1 species